rnacentral:rRNA from 1 species
AGUGAACGCUGGCGGUAGGCCUAACACAUGCAAGUCGAACGGCAGCACAGUAAGAGCUUGCUCUUACGGGUGGCGAGUGGCGGACGGGUGAGGAAUACAUCGGAAUCUACUUUUUCGUGGGGGAUAACGUAGGGAAACUUACGCUAAUACCGCAUACGACCUACGGGUGAAAGCAGGGGAUCUUCGGACCUUGCGCGAUUGAAUGAGCCGAUGUCGGAUUAGCUAGUUGGCGGGGUAAAGGCCCACCAAGGCGACGAUCCGUAGCUGGUCUGAGAGGAUGAUCGGCCACCUUGGAACGGGGACACGGUCCAGACUCCUACGGGAGGCAGCAGUGGGGAAUAUUGGACAAUGGGCGCAAGCCUGAUCCAGCCAUACCGCGUGGGUGAAGAAGGCCUUCGGGUUGUAAAGCCCUUUUGUUGGGAAAGAAAAGCAGCAGGUUAAUACCCCGCUGUUCUGACGGUACCCAAAGAAUAAGCACCGGCUAACUUCGUG